rnacentral:rRNA from 1 species
GACGUAGGGCGCGAGCGUUGUCCGGAUUUAUUGGGCGUAAAGAGCUCGUAGGCGGCUCGUUGCGUCGGCUGUGAAAACCCGCAGCUCAACUGUGGGCUUGCAGCUGAUACGGGCUAGCUAGAGUGUGGUAGGGGAGAUCGGAAUUCCUGGUGUAGCGGUGAAAUGCGCAGAUAUCAGGAGGAACACCGGUGGCGAAGGCGGAUCUCUGGGCCAUUACUGACGCUGAGGAGCGAAAGCGUGGGGGAGCGAACAGG